rnacentral:rRNA from 1 species
UACGGAGGAGGCAAGCGUUAUCCGGAAUUAUUGGGCGUAAAGCGUCCGCAGGUGGCUAUUCAAGUCUGCGGUCAAAGACUGGGGCUUAACCCUGGAAAGGCCGUGGAAACUGAAGAGCUAGAGUGCAGUAGGGGUAGAGGGAAUUCCCGGUGUAGCGGUGAAAUGCGUAGAGCUCGGGAAGAACAUCGGUGGCGAAAGCGCUCUGCUGGACUGCAACUGUCACUCAGGGACGAAAGCUAGGGGAGCGAAUGGG